rnacentral:rRNA from 1 species
GUAGGUGGCAAGCGUUGUCCGGAAUUAUUGGGCGUAAAGCGCGCGCAGGCGGUCCUUUAAGUCUGAUGUGAAAGCCCACGGCUCAACCGUGGAGGGUCAUUGGAAACUGGGGGACUUGAGUACAGAAGAGGAAAGCGGAAUUCCAAGUGUAGCGGUGAAAUGCGUAGAGAUUUGGAGGAACACCAGUGGCGAAGGCGGCUUUCUGGUCUGUAACUGACGCUGAGGCGCGAAAGCGUGGGGAGCGAACAGGAUUAGAUACCCUGGUAGUCCACGCCGUAAACGAUGAGUGCUAAGUGUUAGGGGGUUUCCCGCCCCCCUUAGUGCUGCAGCUAACGCAUUAAGCACUCCGCCUGGGGAGUACGCCGCAAGCUG